ensembl:lncRNA
AUGGCAGAAACAGGCAGGUACUCAUGGGAAAUGACACAGUGUGCAUGAUGGGAAUCGUGGAUCGCAGCCGAGGACCAGGAGAGGACGACGUCGCUCCUCGCCGCGUGCGCCCUGCUUGCACCACACCUGCACUUCCCCUCUGUGUGAUAGCGCUGUCCCCCAAAAGGGGCUGCAAAGCUUCCUUGGGCGGCCUGUUCCAGCACGUCACCGCUCUUUUGGAGAAGAAAUGUUUCCUAAUAUCCAUCCUGAACCUCCCCUGGCAUGGCUUGAGGCCGUUCCCUCUCAUCUUCUCGCAGCUGCCCAGGAGAAGAGGCCGACCCCCACCUCGCUACAACCUCCCAGCUGUUGUGUCCACAGUGAGUCCACGGCAGCAGCUCGGGGUGGUGGAAGGCGGCUAUUUGUUUUGGAAGACACACAGUGGUACACAUAUAAAUGCAGGAAAAAGAAGAAUUUAUACAGAGUGGUACCACCAGGUCAAACUCAGAUGCACUGCCAGCUCCCUUAAUCCAAGGUAGGACAUGGACAGCAUGAAUGAAGAGAGGAGGAGGCUGACAGCAAGAGAUUUGCCACCUCAGGCAGGUGAUGUUUCCCACUGAGACCUCCAGUGCUUCCUGGGAGAGGAGAAAAGUGGCACAGACCUGGUGAGGUCCCACCUAAAACAUCACUUGGCCCAAAGGUGGCAUCAAAUCAACCCAUCUCCUGCCUGACACGUGUGUAUUGGUCUAAACAGUUCAAGGAGAUCUCUAACGGGAGGAAUUCUGCAGCUUCCUCACAAUCUGCAGCCUUAUUGUUGGCAAGGUACUCAGGUCUCAGCUGGCUCCAUACUUCCUACAUAGUGACUGUCUUGUGUGAAAAGGGAAGGCGCUGGAAGCCCCAUCACCUUGUGCUAAAAUGUGGAUCUAGAGGCAGGCCAUGGAUGGAUGUGAGCCAGGGUGAAGCAGAGCUCCAAAGGAGUGUGAUACAGAGAUGGAUUACGCAGUCUCAAGCAGGACUGACAAAGUGACCUAGCUGAUGUGGCUUGUGGUCACGAGCAACAAAUUCAGCAGUGAUAUUCCUGGGUAUGGAGCUCAGGUAUUGCAUCUGUACCAAGGAGGCACAAGGGGCCGUUGAGCUGUAGCUCUCUAACUCCUCUGCAAGGCUCAGGAGAUGUGGGAUGCUUUGCUGUUGGCUUGAUAGGAGGAAAUGCUGCUUUCCUGUGAGUGAGUGAAGUUAACCCAAGACAUAGUUUUCAGCACAGAAACACCUUUCCAGCUCUGUUUCAUGGAGAAGAGACCCAACAGCUCCCUGCGAGCUGACCUGAAGCUGCAGGAAUAUUCUGAGGUGGAGUCACGACUAUUAAAGCAAAAAUAAGAUGAUGCAAGGACACAGCUCACUUGGUGUCAGCCUUUCCUGCGGAAACACAAAGAGGGUUUGUUGAUGCCACGUGUAGGCUGCCUCAGGUCGAGUCAUAUUUCUUUCUUUAUGGAGAUGAAGUUAGUCUUUAAGGCACCAGCUCAAAAUGGCCUUUCUUUCAUUACAAAGUUAUUUAGUUACGGCUCCAAAUCUACUAAUUUGGAGGAAAGCCUGAGUCCUCCUGAAGCUGGCAGGACUCCUUGUCAACAUGCACAAAACCCCAGAGCAGAUGGGCACAGAUUUUGGCUAAGCACAGCAGCAGUUGUUGAGUAUUACAGUCUGUCAUCUCAUCCAGGAGCAUCCCAGCAGCUGCCUUUGCUUCUCCCUUUACUGAGAGGUGUCAGUGUGCCUCUCCUUGCACCCAGCAUCGCACUGCUGCCACUGAAGUUUCGAUUUCUAUGGCCAAGAAUGUUUUCUAUUGCAAUCUCAGCUCUUGCUUUUAAAAGCCAUACAGAGAAAUGACAUACAUUCAAGUGUAGACAUGUUUCUUCAACAGCUCAUGCUUGCCCUUCCAUAACUUUCAUGUCCUAAGGAUCAUGGAAAACCUGGUAGUACAUUACUUUCAGUAGGCUGCCAGAAAGAGAGUUCAUUUAGUUUGAUGACAGAUUAAUACUGAUUCACAAAUUAAUUUUGUCUCUUUGUAUAUCAAGGGUGUCCACAACUUAUUUAAUUUGUAAUAAAUAUAAUUAUAGAAAUGAAUGAGCUAUCAAGAUUUUUAAAGUAUGAUCCAUCAAUGUUGGCAUGACUUGUAAUCCUGGUCAUUAUAAAUAAAAU